rnacentral:tRNA from 1 species
GCCCGGAUGGCGGAAUCGGUAGACGCGUCGGUCUCAAACACCGAUGGAGAGAUCCGUGCCGGUUCGACCCCGGCUCCGGGUA